UGGGGAAUAUUGCACAAUGGGCGCAAGCCUGAUGCAGCCAUGCCGCGUGUAUGAAGAAGGCCUUCGGGUUGUAAAGUACUUUCAGCGGGGAGGAAGGCGAUAAGGUUAAUAACCUUGUCGAUUGACGUUACCCGCAGAAGAAGCACCGGCUAACUCCGUGCCAGCAGCCGCGGUAAUACGGAGGGUGCAAGCGUUAAUCGGAAUUACUGGGAGUAAAGCGCACGCAGGCGGUCUGUCAAGUCGGAUGUGAAAUCCCCGGGCUCAACCUGGGAACUGCAUUCGAAACUGGCAGGCUAGAGUCUUGUAGAGGGGGGUAGAAUUCCAGGUGUAGCGGUGAAAUGCGUAGAGAUCUGGAGGAAUACCGGUGGCGAAGGCGGCCCCCUGGACAAAGACUGACGCUCAGGUGCGAAAGCGUGGGGAGCAAACA
rnacentral:rRNA from 1 species